GACGAACGCUGGCGGCGUGCUUAACACAUGCAAGUCGAACGAUGAAGCCUUCGGGUGGAUUAGUGGCGAACGGGUGAGUAACACGUGGGCAAUCUGCCCUGUACUUUGGGAUAAGCCUUGGAAACGGGUCGUAAUACCGGAUAUCACUUCUGACCGCAUGGUUGGUUGUUGAAAGUUACUGGCGGUACAGGAUGAGCCCGCGGCCUAUCAGCUUGUUGGUGGGGUAAGUGGCCUACCAAGGCGACGACGGGUAGCCGGCCUGAGAGGGUGACCGGCCACACUGGGACUGAGACACGGCCCAGACUCCUACGGGAGGCAGCAGUGGGGAAGUAUUGCACAAUGGGCGAAAGGACCUGAUGCAGCGACGCCGCGUGAGGGAUGACGGCCUGUGUAC
rnacentral:rRNA from 1 species